GACGAACGCUGGCGGCGUGCUUAACACAUGCAAGUCGAGCGGUAAGGCCCUUUUGGGGGUACACGAGCGGCGAACGGGUGAGUAACACGUGGGUGACCUGCCCUCAGCUCUGGGAUAAGCCCGGGAAACUGGGUCUAAUACCGGAUAUGACUCCAUGACGCAUGUUGUGGGGUGGAAAGCCUUGUGCGGCUGAGGAUGGGCCCGCGGCCUAUCAGCUUGUUGGUGGGGUGAUGGCCUACCAAGGCGACGACGGGUAGCCGGCCUGAGAGGGCGACCGGCCACACUGGGACUGAGAUACGGCCCAGACUCCUACGGGAGGCAGCAGUGGGGAAUCUUGCGCAAUGGGCGAAAGCCUGACGCAGCGACG
rnacentral:rRNA from 1 species